UUCUGGUUGAUCCUGCCGGAGGCCACUGCUAUCCGGCUCCGACUAAGCCAUGCGAGUCUGGGGCCGGGGAAACCCGGCACCGGCGGACGGCUCAGUAACACGUGGCCAACCUACCCUCGGGUGGGGGAUAACCCCGGGAAAGCCGGUAGGGGCGCGGGAGAGCACUUGCAUUUUACCCCCUUGGGCCGAGCAAAGGAUCAUGGACCCUCUGGCCCAGGGGCACAUAGGGCAGCCAUCAGGGCUGCUUAGGCUUCGGGGCGUUGCCCCAUAGCGGCAGUCACUCUCAAUGGCGCACAGGUCCAUAGGCCCCUCCGGCCCCGAAACUGGGGCUAAUCCCCCAUAGGGGAGGGAUUGCUGGAAGGCGCCCUCCCCGAAAGCGCGAGCGCCCGAGGAUGGGGCUGCGGCCUAUCAGGUAGUUGUGGGGGUAACGGCCCCACAAGCCUGUGACGGGUACGGGCCGUGGGAGCGGGAGCCCGGAGAUGGCCCCUGAGACACGGGGCCAGGCCCUACGGGGCGCAGCAGGCGCGAAACCUGCGCAAUGCGCGCAAGCGCGACGCGGGGAGCCGGAGUGCCCGUGCUUUGCACGGGCUUUUCCCGUGUCUAAAAAGCACGGGGAAUAAGGGCUGGGCAAGGCCGGUGGCAGCCGCCGCGGUAAUACCGGCAGCCCGAGUGGUGGCCGCUUCUAUUGAGCCUAAAGCGUCCGUAGCCGGCCCCGUAAAUCCCUGGGUAAAUCGGCCCGCUCAACGGGCCGCUCCCCGGGGAGACUGCGGGGCUUGGGACCGGGAGAGGCCGAGGGUACUCCCGGGGUAGGGGUAAAAUCCUAUAAUCCCGGGGGGACCACCUGUGGGGAAGCCGCUCGGCUGGAACGGCUCCGACGGUGAGGGACGAAGGCCAGGGGAUCAAACCGGAUUAGAUACCCGGGUAGUCCUGGCUGUAAACGCUGCCCGCUUGGUGUUGCCCGCCUCUCGGGGGCGGGCAGUGCCGUAGGGAAGCCGUUAAGCGGGCCGCUUGGGGAGUACGGCCGCAAGGCUGAAACUUAAAGGAAUUGGCGGGGGGGCACUGCAACGGGAGGAUGCGUGCGGUUUAAUUGGAUUCAACGCCGGAAACCUCACCGGGGGAGACCGGCACAUGAGGGUCAGGCUGAAGACCUUACCCGAUAGCCGGAGAGGUGGUGCAUGGCGGUCGUCAGUUCGUACCGUGGGGCGUCCUCUUAAGUGAGAUAACGAACGAGACCCCCGCCCCCAGUUGCCACCCGGAUCUCCCGGUCCGGGGGGAAACUGGGGGGACUGCCGGCGCUAAGCCGGAGGAAGGUGGGGGCAACGGUACGUCCGUAUGCCCCGAAUCCCCCGGGCUACACGCGCGCUACAAAGGGCGGGACAAUGGGUGUGGCGACCCCGAAAGGGGGAGCUGAUCCCGAAACCCGCCCGUAGUUCGGAUCGAGGGCUGUAACUCGCCCUCGUGAAGGUGGAUUCCGUAGUAAUCGCGGGUCAACAUCCCGCGGUGAAUACGCCCCUGCCCCUUGCACACACUGCCCGUC
rnacentral:rRNA from 1 species